AACGCACAUUGCGCCCAUUGGUAUUCCGAUGGGCAUGCCUGUUCGAGCGUCAUUAUCCUCCCUCAAACUUCGUUUGGUGUUGGACCGCGUUGGUCGAGCGACCAACUGGUCUCGAAGACAAUGACGGCGUCCGUGGGACCCUCGGUGCAACGAGCUUUUAACGAGCACGCGUCGAGUUUCAAGGCCCCUCCGGGCCGGUCGAAACCUCUAUUUUUCUCAGGUUGACCUCGGAUCAGGUAGGAAUACCCGCUGAACUUAA
rnacentral:misc_RNA from 1 species